UAGGGAAUCUUCGGCAAUGGGGGGAACCCUGACCGAGCAACGCCGCGUGAGUGAAGAAGGUUUUCGGAUCGUAAAGCUCUGUUGUUAAGGAAGAACGAGUGUGAGAAUGGAAAGUUCAUACUGUGACGGUACUUAACCAGAAAGGGACGGCUAACUACGUGCCAGCAGCCGCGGUAAUACGUAGGUCCCGAGCGUUGUCCGGAUUUAUUGGGCGUAAAGCGAGCGCAGGCGGUUAGAUAAGUCUGAAGUUAAAGGCAGUGGCUCAACCAUUGUAGGCUUUGGAAACUGUUUAACUUGAGUGCAGAAGGGGAGAGUGGAAUUCCAUGUGUAGCGGUGAAAUGCGUAGAUAUAUGGAGGAACCCCGGUGGCGAAAGCGGCUAUCUGGUCUGUAACUGACGCAGAGGCUCGAAAGCGUGGGGAGCGAACAGG
rnacentral:rRNA from 1 species